rnacentral:rRNA from 1 species
UAGGAUAGAGGCCUACCAUGGUUUUAACGGGUAACGGGGAAUUAGGGUUCGAUUCCGGAGAGGGAGCCUGAGAAACGGCUACCACAUCCAAGGAAGGCAGCAGGCGCGCAAAUUACCCAAUCCCGACACGGGGAGGUAGUGACAAUAAAUAACAAUACGGGGCUCAUUUGGGUCUCGUAAUUGGAAUGAGUACAAUUUAAAUCUCUUAACGAGGAACAAUUGGAGGGCAAGUCUGGUGCCAGCAGCCGCGGUAAUUCCAGCUCCAAUAGCGUAUAUUAAAGUUGUUGCAGUUAAAAAGCUCGUAGUUGAACUUCGGGGUUUACCCAUUGGUCAGGCUUAAUUGUCUGUACUGGUGAGAUAAAUCUCUACCUUCUGAGGAACUUUCAUGUCAUUAAUUUGGUGUGAUUGGAAAUCAGGACUGUUACUUUGAAAAAAUUAGAGUGUUUAAAGCAGGCUAACGUCUGAAUACAUUAGCAUGGAAUAAUGAAAUAGGACGGAUUGAUUCUAUUUCGUUGGUUUCUAGGAUCACCGUAAUGAUUAAUAGGGAUAGUUGGGGGCACUAGUAUUCAAUUGUCAGAGGUGAAAUUCUUGGAUUUAUUGAAGACUAACUACUGCGAAAGCAUUUGCCAAGGAUGUUUUCAUUAAUCAAGAACGAAAGUUAGGGGAUCGGAGACGAUCAGAUACCGUCGUAGUCUUAACCAUAAACUAUGCCGACUAGGGAUCGGACGAAGUA